CACCUGAUAGCACAUGGUGUGCACCUGCCUUUCCUAGUUCGGUGAAAACAUAUGUAGGCAGGAGGUCCCGUUCGACUCGGGGUCGGGUGA